rnacentral:rRNA from 1 species
GACGAACGCUGGCGGCGUGCUUAACACAUGCAAGUCGAACGGAAAGGCCCUGCUUUGGGGGGGUGCUCGAGUGGCGAACGGGUGAGUAACACGUGGGUAACCUGCCCUUGACUUUGGGAUAACUUCAGGAAACUGGGGCUAAUACCGGAUAGGAGCUCCUGCUGCAUGGUGGGGGUGGGAAAGUUUCGGCGGUUGGGGAUUGACUCGCGGCUGAUCAGCUUGUUGGUGGGGUAGUGGCUUACCAAGGCUUUGACGGGUAGCCGGCCUGAGAGGGUGACCGGACCCAUUGGGACUGAGAUACGGCACAGCCUCCUCCGGGAGGCAGCAGUGGGGAAUAUUGCACAAUGGGAGGAAGCCUAAUCCAGCCACGCAGCGCGCCGGAUGACGGCCUUCGCGUUGUAAACCGCUUCCGCCUGUCACGAAGCGUGAGUGACGGUAAUGGGUAAAGAAGCACCGGCUAACUACGUG